UGCAUGGCCUUGGGAAUACUGAAUUGCCCGUGGAGUACACUGGCUUCCAGGAUGAAGAUUUUCAGGGUGUCAAACUCAGCCUGCCCUAUGGGCAAGAUGAGAGUUAGUAGGCUGGUCUGUGGGCCACAUCAAGCCUUGAUGGAGCCAGAGCACUAACAAUAUCAUCAAAAUGAUGUAACGAAAGAAGCCUUCUUAUGUGAUGGCAGAAUGACAGACUUCAGACAACUAUCAAAGUGUUCUUCAACAACCCCAGUUAGUAUUCAUGAUCAAAAUAACAAGUGCUCACUAUGUUGUACCUACAAUUCAAGGACUUCCCCACAGAAAUGAAUCACCUAGUUCAACUGCAUCUCUUAGAUCACCAAGGAAAUUCACGUUUACUCCAUCUCUGAUUUGAUCAGACUUUAACUGUUGAUUGCUCUGUGGCAGCCAUUUCUUUUUUUCCCCUUCAUGUUAAAAAUUUAAUGUUUCAAACGUCUUCAGAACCUAAGUUAUUUAUAAAUAAAGGGAGGACGGGUGGGGAUUUCUCUCUCAUAAUUUCAAACUACUUAUAACAAAUUGAAUGCAUCUGAUCCUCAUGACACAGCCUGCUACUUAGUGGUUCAAAUCAGAGACUCUUCUUUUUUCACUCCUAGAGAAAGAUCCUAAAUCUAUUUAAAGCAAAAGAAAUUUCAUUUUUAGAACAAGGUUGCAACAUUUCAGUUACUACUCACAUAAAAAGGAU